AUGUUGUAUGGAAGGAAAGGAGAACAAUCCCUCUGACAAGGAUGGAGGGGCCCUUGGGCCUGACAACCAUAACACACUGCCACCUACUCUGCGGCAUCUAGCCAGUGUUUU
rnacentral:ncRNA from 1 species